GACGAACGCUGGCGGCGUGCUUAACACAUGCCAGUCGAACGGAAAGGCCCUGCUUUUGUGUGGUGCUCGAGUGGCGAACGGGUGAGUAACACGUGAGUAACCUGCCCUUGACUUUGUGAUAACUUCAGGAAACUGGGGCUAAUACCGGCUAGGAGCUCCUGAUGCAUGGUGGGGGUUGGAAAGUUUCGGCGGUUGGGGAUGGACUCGCGGCUUAUGAGCUUGUUGGUGGGGUAGUGGCUUACCAAGGCGUUGACGGGUAGCCGGCCUGAGAGGGUGACCGGCCACAGUGGGACUGAGGGACGGCCCAGACUGCAACGGGGGGCAGCAGGGGGGAAUAUUGCACAAUGGGCGGAAGCCGGAUGCAGCAACGCCGCGUGCGGAAUGACGGCUUUCGGGUUGGAAACCGCUUUCGCCUGUGACGAAGCGUGAGUGACGGUAAUUGGUAAAGAAGCACCGGCUAACUACGUG
rnacentral:rRNA from 1 species